GCAAGUCGAGCGCUACCUUCGGGUCUAGCGGCGGACGGGUUAGUAACGCGUGGGAAUGUACCCUUCUCUACGGAAUAGCCUCGGGAAACUGAGAGUAAUACCGUAUACGCCCUUCGGGGGAAAGAUUUAUCGGAGAAGGAUCAGCCCGCGUUAGAUUAGAUAGUUGGUGGGGUAACGGCCUACCAAGCCUACGAUCUAUAGCUGGUUUGAGAGGAUGAUC
rnacentral:rRNA from 1 species